GGACUACUGGGGUAUCUAAUCCUGUUUGCUCCCCACGCUCUCGCGCCUCAGUGUCAGUAUCUGUCCAGGUAGCCGCCUUCGCCACUGGUGUUCCUUCCGAUCUCUACGCAUUUCACCGCUACACCGGAAAUUCCUCUACCCUCUACAGUACUCCAGCUAUUCAGUCUUCGAUGCCAUUCCUAGGUUAAGCCCAGGUCUUUCACAUCAAUCUUAAUCAACCACCUACGCGCCCUUUACGCCCAGUAACUCCGAUUAACGCUUGCACCCUCUGUAUUACCGCGGCUGCUGGCAC
rnacentral:rRNA from 1 species